rnacentral:lncRNA from 1 species
AGAUAUUACCAAAAUCCUAAUAAUAGCUUUAAAUCCUUGCUUAUAUAUACCUAUGUAUAAAUUCCUUCAUAUCUCACAAAUAAAAUACUCAAAUAAUAUAAAAUUUUGAUAUAUAGCUUUUUAACCUAAUAAUAUAUAUUUUUUAAAAUUUUAAACUAAAAACUCAUCUAAAAACUUAAAGUAUGGCUGCAACGAUUACUAUCAACAAAACGACUCACUUAUUGCCUUUGAAUUACAUAUGUUGUCUUUAAUGUUCUAUAACUUCUACAUACAAACUCCAAAUACAAAAAUUCUUUCAUAAGAGAUGUAAAUCUUGAAAUUUCUAUUGCAACUAUUUCUCUUGAUCUCCAAAAUCUAUCAUAAAACUCUUCAUAUUUCCAAAAUAGUAAUAGUAUAUCAUUGAAAGAUACCUUAAUAUCAAACGACUAUAAUUUCAUCAUCUUAACUCCAAAUUGUAGCUUAAAUCCUAAACCUAAUAAUUCUUACUUUUGAUUUUUGAAUGUCAUAUUUGAAGUCAUCAAAAUCCUUGUUAUAGUCGUAGAUAUCUUGUUAAAUACCUAUAAGAUAUGGC